UACGGGGGGGGCGAGCGUUGUUCGGAAUUACUGGGCGUAAAGGGCGCGUAGGCGGCCAUCUAAGUCAGACGUGAAAUCCCCCGGCUUAACCUGGGAACUGCGUCUGAUACUGGAAGGCUUGAGUAUGGGAGAGGGAUGUAGAAUUCCAGGUGUAGCGGUGAAAUGCGUAGAUAUCUGGAGGAAUACCGGUGGCGAAGGCGGCAUCCUGGACCAUUACUGACGCUGAGGCGCGAAAGCUAGGGGAGCAAACGGG
rnacentral:rRNA from 1 species